rnacentral:tRNA from 1 species
GGGCCGGUAGUGUAGCCUGGAUAUCACGUCUCCCUGUCACGGAGAAGACCACGGGUUCGAAUCCCGUCCGGCCCG